GCCUACGGGGGGCAGCAGCAGGGAAUCUUCCACAAUGGGCGAAAGCCUGAUGGAGCAACGCCGCGUGGGUGAAGAAGGUCUUCGGAUCGUAAAACCCUGUUGUUAGAGAAGAAAGUGCGUGAGAGUAACUGUUCACGUUUCGACGGUAUCUAACCAGAAAGCCACGGCUAACUACGUGCCAGCAGCCGCGGUAAUACGUGGGUGGCAAGCGUUAUCCGGAUUUAUUGGGCGUAAAGGGAACGCAGGCGGUCUUUUAAGUCUGAUGUGAAAGCCUUCGGCUUAACCGGAGUAGUGCAUUGGAGACU
rnacentral:rRNA from 1 species